CAGUCGCCGCGGUAAAACGGAGGGUGCAAGCGUUAUCCGGAUUUAUUGGGUUUAAAGGGUCCGUAGGCGGAUCUGUAAGUCAGUGGUGAAAUCUCACAGCUUAACUGUGAAACUGCCAUUGAUACUGCAGGUCUUGAGUAAAUUUGAAGUGGCUGGAAUAAGUAGUGUAGCGGUGAAAUGCAUAGAUAUUACUUAGAACACCAAUUGCGAAGGCAGGUCACUAAGAUUUAACUGACGCUGAUGGACGAAAGCGUGGGGAGCGAACAGGAUUAGAUACCCGUGUAGUCCCUGUCUCUUAUAC
rnacentral:rRNA from 1 species